rnacentral:rRNA from 1 species
AUGACCAUGUCUCCUUCCAUCUGCCUAGCCAUCUUGCUGCUUGCACUGGUCUCGCAGUCGCCAGCAUCAGCCAGCAUCCCCGGCACUAGCAACAACGGCUUCGCCGUCGCAGCCCCUAGCGUACCCACGGCGACUCAGUUCCUGCAGGCGCACAACGACGCGCGCCGCGAUGUCGGCGUGGCACCCCUGACGUGGAACUCGACGCUGGAGCAGGACGCCCAGCGGUACGCGGACCGGCUCAGCAUCGGCUGCAAGCUGGAGCCACUAGACAUCGAGCUGAUCUACCUGCAGAACACCUACAACGGCAGCGGUUACCAAGAUGGCGCCGCCGUCACCGCCUCGUGGGUGAACGGGCGGCGGUGGUACGACUACCGCGCUAACGCAUGCGUGCCCGGCCACGACUGCGGGGCCUACAAGCUGAUGGUGUGCAGCACCGUGCAAGAGCUCGGCUGCGCCCGCCGCACCUGCCGGAGCAGCCCCGACACCGUCGCUGUUUGCAGCUACUUCCCUGACUGCGACUACAACGACCGGCCAUACUGA